rnacentral:rRNA from 1 species
GAUGAACGCUGGCGGCGUGCCUAAUACAUGCAAGUCGAGCGAACAGACGAGGAGCUUGCUCCUCUGACGUUAGCGGCGGACGGGUGAGUAACACGUGGAUAACCUACCUAUAAGACUGGGAUAACUUCGCGAAACCGGAGCUAAUACCGGAUAAUAUAUUGAACCGCAUGGUUCAAUAGUGAAAGACGGUUUUGCUGUCACUUAUAGAUGGAUCCGCGCCGCAUUAGCUAGUUGGUAAGGUAACGGCUUACCAAGGCAACGAUGCGUAGCCGACCUGAGAGGGUGAUCGGCCACACUGGAACGGAGACACGGUCCAGACUCCUAAGGGAGGCAACAGUAGGGAAUCUUCCGCAAUGGGCGAAAGCCUGACGGAGCAAAGCCGCGUGAGUGAUGAAGGUCUUCGGAUCGGAAAACUCUGUUAUUAGGGAAGAACAAAUGUGUAAGUAACUAUGCACGUCUUGACGGUACCUAAUCAGAAAGCCACGGCUAACUACGUG